AGCGAACGCUGGCGGCAGGCUUAACACAUGCAAGUCGAGCGGGCCCUUCGGGGUCAGCGGCAGACGGGUGAGUAACACGUGGGAACGUACCCUUUGGUUCGGAAUAACGCUGGGAAACUAGCGCUAAUACCGGAUACGCCCUUUUGGGGAAAGGCUUGCUGCCGAAGGAUCGGCCCGCGUCUGAUUAGCUAGUUGGUGGGGUAAUGGCCUACCAAGGCGACGAUCAGUAGCUGGUCUGAGAGGAUGAUCAGCCACACUGGGACUGAGACACGGCCCAGACUCCUACGGGAGGCAGCAGUGGGGAAUAUUGGACAAUGGGCGAAAGCCUGAUCCAGCCAUGCCGCGUGAGUGAUGAAGGCCUUAGGGUUGUAAAGCUCUUUUGUCCGGGACGAUAAUGACGGUACCGGAAGAAUAAGCCCCGGCUAACUUCGUG
rnacentral:rRNA from 1 species